UCGUAACAAAAGAGGCGCUUGGGCUGUCGCUGACCCCCCAAAGGUCGUGCACGCCCUCUCGCUUCAACACAAUCCAUCUCUCACCCCUUUGUGCAUCACCGCGUGGGUCCCUCCUUUGCGGUAAGGGCCUGCGUUCUAUCAUAAAACUUGACGCAGUGUAGAAUGUUUUUAUUUUUGCUGUAACAUGCAAUCAAUA
rnacentral:misc_RNA from 1 species